AGGCAACAGUGAGACAGGUACCAGUGAGACAGUUCACAGCAAGACAGGCCGCAGUGAGACAGGUACCAGUGAGACAGCCAGCAUUGAGACAGGUACCAGUGAGACAGGCAGCAGUGAGACAGUUCACAGCGAGACAGGUAGCAGUGAGAC